AGCACUUUUAAGAUCGGUCAUAAAAUAACCGAUCUUAAAAUUACUUUUAAGAUCGUUUAAAUUUUAACCGAUCUUAAAAGUGUU
rnacentral:miRNA from 1 species